GGAGAGUGUUUGAGGAGGGAUCUGCGGCCCAUCAGCUAGUUGGUGAGGUAACGGCUCACCAAGGCGAAGACGGGUAGGGGGUGUGAGAGCAUGGCCCCCCACAAUGGGACUGAGACACGGCCCAUACUCCUACGGGAGGCAGCAGCGGGGAAUAUUGCGCAAUGGACGGAAGUCAGACGCAGCGACGCCGCGUGGGUGAGGAAGGCCUUCGGGUUGUAAAGCCCUUUUCAGGGGAGCGAGAAAGGACGGUACCCUUGGAAUAAGCGUCGGCUAACUACGUGCCAGCAGCCGCGGUAAGACGUAGGACGCAAGCGUUAUCCGGAUUUACUGGGCGUAAAGCGCCUGUAGGCGGUCAAGUAAGUCGGAUGUGAAAGCCCCGUGCUCACCGCGGGGAAGCCAUUCGAUACUGCGUGACUAGAGAACGGCAGAGGGAAACGGAAUUUCUGGUGUAGCGGUAAAAUGCGCAGAGAUCAGAAAGAACACCGAUGGCGAAGGCAGUUUCCUAGGCCGCAUCUGACGCUGAGAGGCGAAAGCUAGGGGAGCAAACAGGAUUAGAGACCCUGGGUAGUCCUAGCUGUAAACGAUGGAUGCUAGGUGUGGGCCGGAAAGGUCCGCGCCGUAGUUAACGCGAUAAGCAUCCCGCCUGGGGAGUACGGCCGCAAGGCUAAAACUCAAACGAAUUGACGGGGACCCGCCCAAGCAGCGGAGCGUGUGGUUUAAUUCGAUGCUACACGCAGAACCUUACCUGGGCUUGACAUGUAGGUGGUAGUGAAGUGAAAGCGGAGCGACCCUUCGGGGAGCCUACACAGGUGCUGCAUGGCUGUCGUCAGCUCGUGCCGUGAGGUGUCGGGUUAAGUCCCGUAACGAGCGCAACCCUUGUCCUUAGUUACAAGUGUCUAAGGAGACUGCCGGUGACAAACCGGAGGAAGGUGGGGAUGACGUCAAGUCAGCAUGGCCCUUAUGUCCAGGGCGACACACACGCUACAAUGGUCGGUACAAUGGGCAGCGCAGCCGCGAGGUGAAGCGAAUCCCAACAAAGCCGAUCCCAGUUCGGAUUGCAGGCUGCAACCCGCCUGCAUGAAGCCGGAGUUGCUAGUAACCGCGCGUCAGCCAUAGUGCGGUGAUACGUUCCCGGGUCUU
rnacentral:rRNA from 1 species